rnacentral:ncRNA from 1 species
GAAAGCCGUGUGCAAUGAAAAAUGCAAGCACGGUUUGGGGAGGGUUUUUUUACCUAUUUUUUUCUAACAAGGAAAUUAUCUACUCCAU